rnacentral:rRNA from 11 species
AAAAAAAAAAAAAAAAAAGGGGAAAAAAAAAAAAAAAACCGCAACGGGCAAAGUCCUUCUAC